rnacentral:rRNA from 1 species
GUCUGGCCUGCCCACUGAAAUUUUAAAGGGCCGCGGUAUUUUGACCGUGCAAAGGUAGCAUAGUCAUUAGUCUUUUAAUUGGGGGCUUGUAUGAAUGGUCGGACAAGAGAUAAUCUGUUUCAAUGAAAUUAAUUGAAUUUAACUUUUAAGUAAAAAGGCUUAAAUAUAUUAAAGUGACGAUAAGACCCUAUAAAACUUUAUGAAAAAAAAUUAAAAAAUCAAAUUAGUUAAUUAAAGACUUUUUAAUUGUAUUCAUUUUAUUGGGGCGAUAAAAAUAAAAUAAUAACUGUUUUUAAAUUUUAAAUGAUAAUUUUCAGUUAAGUUAAAUGAUCCUUUAAUAAAGAUUAAAAGAUUAAGUUACUUUAGGGAUAACAGCGUAAUUUUCUUUAAGAGUUCAUAUCUACAAGAAAGAUUGCGACCUCGAUGUUGAAUUAAAAUUUCUUUAAGGUGUAGCAGCUUUAAAAGAAGGUCUGUUCGACCUUUAAAUUUUUACGUGAUCUGAGU